AUUAACACAUGCAAGUCGAGCGGUAAGGGCCUUCGGGGUACACGAGCGGCGAACGGGUGAGUAACACGUGGGUAACCUGCCCUGUACUCUGGGAUAAGCCCGGGAAACUGGGUCUAAUACCGGAUACGACCACUUGACGCAUGUCUGGUGGUGGAAAGUUCCGGCGAUAUGGGAUGGACCCGCGGCCUAUCAGCUUGUUGGUGGGGUAAUGGCCUACCAAGGCGACGACGGGUAGCCGGCCUGAGAGGGUGACCGGCCACACUGGGACUGAGACACGGCCCAGACUCCUACGGGAGGCAGCAGUGGGGAAUAUUGCACAAUGGGCGAAAGCCUGAUGCAGCGACGCCGCGUGAGGGAUGACGGCCUUCGGGU
rnacentral:rRNA from 1 species